GAUGAACGCUGGCGGCGUGCUUAACACAUGCAAGUCGAACGGGGAUUACACGGAGAUGCGAUUUCGGUCAAAUCAAGUGCAAUCUUAGUGGCGGACGGGUGAGUAACGCGUGGGUAACCUGCCUUGCACUGGGGGAUAACACUUAGAAAUAGGUGCUAAUACCGCAUAAGCGCACGGUCCUGCAUGGGACAGUGUGAAAAACUCCGGUGGUGCAAGAUGGACCCGCGUCUGAUUAGCUGGUUGGCGGGGUAAAGGCCCACCAAGGCGACGAUCAGUAGCCGGCCUGAGAGGGUGGACGGCCACAUUGGGACUGAGACACGGCCCAA
rnacentral:rRNA from 1 species